GACGGGGACCCGCACAAGCAGCGGAGCGUGUGGUUUAAUUCGUUGCUACACGAAGAACCUUACCUGGGUUUGACAUAUAGGUUGUAGGGAACUGAAAGGGACCGACCUUCGGGAGCCUAUACAGGUGUUGCAUGGCUGUCGUCAGCUCGUGUCGUGAGAUGUUCGGUUAAGUCCGCUAACGAGCGCAACCCUCGCUGUGUGUUACAAGUGUCACACAGGACCGCCGGUCUUAAGCCGGAGGAAGGUGGGGAUGACGUCAAGUCAGCAUGGCCUUUAUGUCCAGGGCUACACACACGCUACAAUGGUCAGCACAAUAGGUAGCCAAGCCGCGAGGUGGAGCCAAUCCUCAAAGCUGUCCUCAGUUCAGAUCGCAGGCUGCAACCCGCCUGCGUGAAGCCGGAGUUGCUAGUAACCGCAGGUCAGCUAUACUGCGGUGAAUGCGUUCCCGGGGCUU
rnacentral:rRNA from 1 species